CAUGAUCAGCUAUUGGUUAUUAAUGGAGGAAUUCUAUACUGUCAUAUUUUACACCACGUCAUUAAUAACAAGCUAAUCAUAUUUUUUCUUUUCAAAUAAAAUUUUAAUAAAAAUAUUUUUUUUACAAUCAUGAUGGAACAUAUAUUUUUUAAAAAAUAUUUGGUUAGUUUGUUACGCCACGUCACCGAUAUAACCGUUGUAUUUUAGAAUGUUUUUUUUUAUUAAUGAGUACCCUCCUUCAC
rnacentral:lncRNA from 1 species